rnacentral:lncRNA from 1 species
GUAAAGCAAACAAACAAACCAAACAAAAUGAAUCAAAGUAUAGAGUUCAGUCCGAUUAUACAUUCCCAAAAUAAAUAAAAUAUAAAAAAUAAAUCCUAUCUAACCUAUACUAAUCCUAACUACGCUCCCAGGCUUUAUCCGAUGCCUCGGGCCUUCAUCACGAACAUCCUCCGAGUACAUGAUACGUCGGGGCAUUCCCUGGUGAAUAAGUACAAUGUGACCUCGGGGCAUUCCCCGAAGAAUGAAUACAUUUUCCAAAUGCGAGAAAAUCAAACCACUCAAAUGAAAUUUCAAACACUCAACAAAACCAUGAGUCCUAGACUUUGCCUACCCAAAACCUAGAUUUGCCUACCAAUCCUCGGUUUAAUACAUGAUACUAUCGACGUUCAACAUCAACAAUGAAUCAAAAUACCAUAAUAUUCACUUUUUACCGAUUUUCGAUUCCCACCCCAAAUUCAACUCAAGGUUCCAACGUAAUAAUUCACAAUUGCUACUUUCGACGAUCCAUAAUCAAUAACAAUGAAAUCAAACAAACAAAAUAAUAUCAUCAAAAUAUUCAUAUCAUGCUUCACACUAAACAAUCACACAUAUACAAUGAAAUUGAAAUGAGGACGAGAUAGAAUUGGACCUUACUUUUAUUUCAAUUCGGGCAUUUGGUUAGAGCUCUAAACACGAACCUCGAAUCAACAAUCUCAAUCCGAACCCCAACAUGGUAAAGCCUUCACUGUUUUUUUUGGCCAACCUGAACCUCCCUUCGAUCUGUAUGCGUGUGUGGAUCUCGUGAGGUCAGUGACGAUGGAAGUGCGUUUGUAUAUCGGCUGUGAGAGUGUGUGUUUACUGUGAGGUCAAUUGGAGUGUAUCCUGUGUGUCAUCUCCUCUCCCUUUUCUGCCUAAUCUCUCUCGCCUCCACCCUCUAUCGAUCUCUACCUCUCUCCAUCCCUCAAUUUUUCCAUGGAAACUGUGUGUGUGAAUCUUCUAAGAUCAGCGAGGACUGAGUGAAAGCUGUGUGGGUAUCAAUUGAGAGUGGUGAGUGUAUGUUCUGUUAUUCCCUCCUCUCCAUGGAAAAGGAAGUGUGUGCUUAUUGUGUAUUGUGAGGAUGAAAAAAAUGGAGUCUAUGUUUCCCUGGUGUGCGUAUUCUCGUUCAACGAAAAUUGAAGAGUCUAUGUAUAUAAGAUGAUGACAAAAACGUGACCCCCUUGUGUAUAUCUCUUCCUGGAAGGUUCCUUGUG